rnacentral:rRNA from 1 species
UACAGAGGUCUCAACCGUUGUUCGGAUUCAUUGGGCGUAAAGGGUGCGUAGGCGGUCGUGCAAGUCGGAUGUGAAAUCUCAGGGCUCAACCCUGAAACUGCAUUCGAUACUGCGCGGCUAGAGUGCUGGAGGGAGACUGGAAUUACGGUGUAGCAGUGAAAUGCGUAGAUAUCGUAAGGAAGACCAGUGGCGAAGGCGAGUCUCUGGACAGCAACUGACGCUGAGGCACGAGGCCAGGGGAGCAAACGGG